GCUCUCUUCAGCAGCAUAUACUAAAAUUGGAAUGAUACAGAGAAGAUUAGCAUGACCCCUGUGCAAGGAUGAAAAAAAAAAAGAAUCAGUGUUUCUAAGUAACU
rfam:Pteropus alecto contig54857, whole genome shotgun sequence.